ACCGGCAAACGGGUGCGGAACACGUACGCAAUCUUCCCAAAACUGAUGAAUAGCCCUCCGAAAGGAGGAUUAAUACAUCGUAACUUAAUGAAGUGGCAUCACUUUAUUAAUAUAGCUCCGGCGGUUUUGGAUGAGCGUGCGGCUGAUUAGGUAGUUGGCGGGGUAACGGCCCACCAAGCCUGCGAUCAGUAACUGGUGUGGGAGCACGACCAGUCAUACGGGCACUGAGACACGGGCCCGACUCCUACGGGAGGCAGCAGUAAGGAAUAUUGGUCAAUGGACGCAAGUCUGAACCAGCCAUGCCGCGUGAAGGAUGAAGGCCCUCUGGGUUGUAAACUUCUUUUAUCUGGGACGAAACCACUUUUUUCUAGAAGUGUUGACGGUACCAGAGGAAUAUGCACCGGCUAACUCCGUGCCAGCAGCCGCGGUAAUACGGAGGGUGCAAGCGUUAUCCGGAUUCACUGGGUUUAAAGGGAGCGUAGGUGGGCAGGUAAGUCAGUGGUGAAAUCUUUGGUCUUAACCCGAAAACUGCCAUUGA
rnacentral:rRNA from 1 species